rnacentral:ncRNA from 1 species
AGCAUGUGUUGCCGCGCAGCGGGACGGAGCUCGACCGCCGUUCCGCAAAUGACUGUAUUCAUUGAUGAUUUCCGGGAGGAGUUCGGGGUCGAGCCGAUCUGUCGCGUGCUGCCGAUCGCCCGG